UUUGAACCUUAAACUUUGGUGUUCUGAAUAAAAAGACAAUAUUAAUGACCUCGUGAAGACACACUCUUUAUCUUCUUCCAGCUAUAGCUUAGUGUCCCAAUUCACCGGAUUGCAGACAUAGUUCCUUUUAGCGCAAAUCUGCAAAUUAAGUUUGCCAACGGCUUCAGUUUUUUGAAGUUUUACAAUUCUGUGGCUUUGAAACAACUGCAUGGGGAAUUGUUUGAAUAAGGUGAGAAUAUUUGGAUCCUUAAGUAGGAAUAUGCUCAUCAGAACAUGAAAACCUAAGGCUUUCCUCCUGCUCUCUGAUAAACUGUUAGCUUGAACAGAUUAUCAGAGAGCAUAGGUUAUACUUUUGAGUGUAUCUGUAGCAUUUCUUUCCCCGAUAGUAUAGCGUAUGAGGAUAGCAUGUAGACUGAACUGAUUCACUUUUAUCUAUGGUUUUUCAUUUUGGCAAACAAUUUAAGAACUAGAAAGCAGAACUAAUUUGCUACUUCUGUUCCAGUGAGAGUAUGCAAGAGUGUGGAAACUUAAUUUUUCCUUGAAAUGGUUUGAGCUAAGAAGUAUGAAAAACUGGAUGGAUUUUGCCCAAGGGAGGCAAUUUUAAUUUAUAUGCAACAUUUUCUAUUUUAUAGCUAUAAUAGGAAAUGGUCUGAAGUAUCGCUUGCUGAACUUCUCUUUCUUAAUGCCACUUAAUGUUGCUUGAAAAGUUGCAACUUGACUAACACCAUAUCUCCCACUUGAAAAUCCAUAUCCUUUCUUCGCUUAUCUGCUUGAGCCUUCAUCUGCUGCUGAGCUUUCCACAAAUUGACUUUUGGCUGAGAGAGCAAGGCAUCUCGUUGGUGUAGAGUCUGCUGAGCUGCUUUUGAAUCAUCAGCAUUCACUGCAUACCUAGUUAAGCCUCAAACUCAGGAUGAUGAUUCUAAUCAUAAUGUGGUGUUGGCUUCUGGGAAUGUACAACACAUUACUACCAAAGAAACUUGGGACCAAAAGUUGGAACAUGCAAAGAGGGAUGGUAAAAUUGUUAUUGCCAAUUUCAGUGCAACAUGGUGUGGUCCUUGUAAGACGAUUGCACCAUAUUAUAGCGAGUUGUCCAAGAAUUACCCAUCUAUCAUGUUCUUAUUAGUCGAUGUGGAUGAACUAUCUGACUUCAGCAUUUCUUGGGACAUCAAAGCAACACCAACUUUCUUCUUCCUUAGAGAUGGAAAAGAGUUUGACAAACUUGUAGGAGCCAACAGGCCAGAGCUGGAAAAGAAGAUUGCUGGAGUUGCUGAUCAAUAGUGAUGUUGUUUCUUUCUUAUUCAUUAAAGCUGUGGUCUUCUCUUCUCCCUUCCCAACCCGUGAUGUCUGUCCUUGUAUACUUCCUUAGCACAUGCUUUCCCGUGAUGUCUGUCGUUGUAUUGUUCCUUAGCACAUGCUUUCCCGUGAUGUCUGUGAAUUGUAUUUAUCCUUAGAUGUAAAUAUAUGAUGGUUCAAAUGAUUGCUUGUAUUCUGAAUUUCAACCUGAUGUUAGUAUCUUUGAAAUGUAAAGCAUUGUUGUGCCUUAUGUUUUACAGAAUAUUAAUGAGUCAUGAGAAUGGUGGAUUUGAUUCUGACAGCACUACCUCGUCCCCUGUUGGAGGCUGAGGUUGACAAUGAAAAAUAUUCGGAUAGAGAAGAGGCAGAGAUCAUUGAGUUAGAUUGAAGUUUGAGAAGUGCAAAUGUAGUUUUGUGUACUUAAGUAGAAGUUUAAGUGCAAAAGAUAAAAAUAAUUGUCUUUGUACACAGUCACUUCGAUAAUUAUCAGACUUUAUUCCUUUUUGUCUACAUAUUGAUUAAGAAUUUAUUCUUGUGUAAAUCUGCCAUUGUAAUUUCAAAUAGUUCCAACCGACAAACAAUAUGUAGCCUAUAUGUAUCUCUUUUUGCAACUC